AUUGAACGCUGGCGGCAGGCUUAACACAUGCAAGUCGAGCGAGCGGCGGACGGGUGUGUAAUGUAUGGGGACUGCCCGACAGCGGGGGAUAACUCCUGGAAAAGGUAGCUAAUACCGCAUACUAUCGGAUAACGCAUAUGGGCUUAGCUAGUAGGUGAGGUAAUGGCUCACCUAGGCGACGAUCCCUAGCUGGUCUGAGAGGAUUAUCAGCCACACGGGGACUGAGACACGGCCCAGAGUCCUACGGAGGCAGCAGUGGGGAAUAUUGCAAAAUGGGCGCAAGCCUGAUGCAGCCAUGCCGCGGGUAUGAAGAAGGCCUUAGGGUUGUAAAGUACUUUCAGUCGGGAGGCGUUACCGACAGAAGAAGCACCGGCUAACUCCGUGCCAGCAGGCGCGGUAAUUC
rnacentral:rRNA from 1 species